AAACUAGGAUUAGAUACCCUAUUAUUUAAAAUGUAAAUAAUAAAGCUAAGGUAGUAGUAGUUAUGUUCUUGAAACUUAAAAAAUUUGGCGGUAUUUUAGUCUAUUCAGAGGAACCUGUUCUGUAAUCGAUAAUCCACGAUGGACCUUACUUAAGUUUGUAAUCAGUUUAUAUACCGUCGUUAUUAGAAUAUUUUACAAGAAUGUUAAUUUUCUAAAUUUUUUUAAGAAAGUAUAUCAGAUCAAGGUGUAGCUAAUAUUUAAGUAGAAAUGGGUUACAAUAAAUUUAUUUAUACGGAUAUAAAUUUGAAAUAUUUAUUGAAGGUGGAUUUGAUAGUAAAAUUAUAAAGAUAAAU
rnacentral:rRNA from 1 species